rfam:Marivita cryptomonadis strain CL-SK44 contig22, whole genome shotgun sequence.
CCCCUUGAAUUCGGGCGGCAAAACUCCGAUAUUCAUGAUGUUCCUUCGGGGACUAUAGACAUAAACGCGCGUUCAAUAAGCGGCUCGGACCCGGGGGCGGUACCCGGCGACUCCACCAAACACCCUGUCAUUUGCAGGAUCAUGGGGUCGAAACAGGAUCGACGAACGUCUAAACACGUCUGCUUUGUCUCGGUGAGAUACCACCGUUAUCGGUUCACAAAGUAUAGUUGCAAAUGACAACAAUGCUCCGGUAGCACUUGCCGCGUAAGCGGUCGGUAAUAUCGAAAAUUAAGCCCUUGCGCCUAGCAGCGUAAGGCGGGGUUCGCAGGCACCUGGCAACAGAAGCCUGCACU